CGGCAAUGGAGGAAACUCUGACCGAGCAACGCCGCGUGAACGACGAAGUACUUUGGUAUGUAAAGUUCUUUUAUCAAGGAAGAAAAGCAAGUGGCGAACCAUUUGUUUGCCGGUACUUGAUGAAUAAGCCCCGGCUAAUUAUGUGCCAGCAGCCGCGGUAAGACAUAAGGGGCAAGUGUUAUCCGGAAUUAUUGGGCGUAAAGGGUGCGUAGGCGGUCUAGUAAGUCAGUGGUGUAAUGGCAACGCUCAACGUUGUCCGGCUAUUGAAACUGCUAAACUUGAGUUAGAUAGAGGCGAGUGGAAUUCCAUGUGUAGCGGUAAAAUGCGUAAAUAUAUGGAGGAACACCAGAGGCGUAGGCGGCUCGCUGGGUCUUAACUGACGCUGAGGCACGAAAGCGUGGGGAGCAAACAGGAUUAGAUACCCUGGUAGUCCACGCCGUAAACGAUGAGUACUAAGUGUCGGGUUAAACCGGUACUGAAGUUAACACAUUAAGUACUCCGCCUGAGUAGUACGUACGCAAGUAUGAAACUUAAAGGAAUUGACGGGACUCCGCACAAGCGGUGGAUCAUGUUGUUUAAUUCGAAGAUACCCGAAAAACCUUACCAGGUCUUGACAUGUUUUUGCGAAACGGUAGUAAUAUCGUAGAGGUUAUCAGAAACACAGGUGGUGCAUGGUUGUCGUCAGCUCGUGUCGUGAGAUGUUAGGUUAAGUCCUAAAACGAGCGAAACCCUUAUCGUUAGUUGCCAGCACGUUAUGGUGGGGACUUUAACGAGACUGCCAGUGAUAAACUGGAGGAAGGUGAGGAUCACGUCAAAUCAGCAUGCCCCUUAUGACCUGGGCUACAAACGUGAUACAAUGGCUGUUACAAAGAGUAGCUGAA
rnacentral:rRNA from 1 species